AGAGGUGAAGGCUUUCAUUUGAAGAUGGAAGGACAUCCGGCCACCAUGCGCGGCUGAACACCUAGUCUAGGGCUGGAUGAAGCCCUAGCAAUGUAACAGGGCAUUGUAGUUCUUACUCUUUUUAGUCUUUUUGGAGUUUGUUUAAAUUCUCAUUCUCAAUGAAAAAAUUAUUUUAUGAUGUUUAAACCUUGAGCAUGCCAUUUACUAUUCAUGUUUGCUAAAGUAGUCUAAGAUGAUCCAUGCCUAGGAAGAUGAGAUGUGCUACACCCUAGAUUAGCAUACUUAGGUAGACAUUUCAUGCUAUACCGAAGAUGGAUCUUCCUAAAACUCUUUAUGCUUUUAUUUUAUAAGGCUUGUAGCCAAAAUUGCAUGCCUCUCCAAAAGAUAAGAUUAAGAACACAAUCCUUGAUGCAAUGCUAUGUGGUGGAUUCCAAACCCUAGAUCUAUUUACUUUGAUAAAAUUUCAAUCCGUACUCAUAGUUUGAUUUAGUUAAAUCAAGUUAGCAAAUCCUUCUUUUUGAAUUAUUUUUAAAA
rnacentral:lncRNA from 1 species